UNGCAAUAACCAGCUCUGUAUGAGUAGCCA
rnacentral:piRNA from 1 species